rnacentral:RNase_P_RNA from 1 species
GAGAGAGGAAGGGCGGCUGCCGGCAGCAAUGCUGCUGAGGAAAGUCCCCUCACCAUCUGGACCGCGGACGCCCGCAAGUGCGUAGGGCGAGAGUCCUGGCUCUGGAACAGAAACGAUACCGCUGCGCUUAAAAUGCGAUGAACUCGAAAGAGCGAGGUCAUGCGUAUGCGGAUGGAACGGCGAAUCCACGCGGGUGCAAGCCGAAAUAGGGCAUAAGGGCAGUCCAGACCUGUCCGAGUACGGCGCAUAGCUGAAUGCUGCAUGGGCGCCACAGGGGCAUCGCUCCUUGCGCCAAACAUAAAGGGGCUUACUCUCCUCACUC